rnacentral:siRNA from 1 species
GGCAUGAUUUUGUGGGUUUACCA